UUUUUUUUUUUUUUUUUUUUUUUUUUUUUUUGUCUUUUCAGGACUGCACCUGAGGCAUAUGGAGCUUCCCAGGCUAGAAGCUGAAUCAGAGCAGCAGCUGCUGGCCUACACCACACAGCCACAGCUAUAUGGGAUCUGAGCCAUGUCUGUGACCUACACCACAGCUCGCAGUAAUGCUGGAUCCUUAACCCACUGAGAGAGGCCAGGGAUCAAACCCAUGUUCUCAUGGAUACCAGUUGGGUUGGUUAACUGCUGAGCCAUGACAGGAACUCCUGGACUUUUUUUUUAGGCCUUUCUGGGUAAGAUUUCAUUCAUUCAUGCUAUACAUUCAAACAAUUUAAAAUGGACUUUUUAAAUAACAUAUGAUUAAUUUAUAAUAAAAAGCCAUUUACUUAUAUUAUUAUUUGUAAAAAGCCAUUUGUGGUUCUCGUAAGCAGAAGGGCUGACUUGAUUCCACAACAAGGCUGUGACCAGGUGGUUUCAUUGGUGGUGACUCUUUCUAGCCAUCAAAAUGAAAGGUUUGUUAUUAUCAAGCAUAGCGAAAAGGGAGGUCUAGUCUUUGCUUCAUUCUCUGGGAUGCCCUUGAAAGUGAGUAUUGACAGAUCAUUGGCUUUUCCUUAGUUGUUCACAGUAUGUAUAUAAGUGGACAUUUUUUAGGUAAACACAGAUAUCACAAUGAACCAGUGAAGCUUUGAAUUUCCACGGGCCUAAAUAGAUUUUUGGGAACAGCUUUUAUUAAGAUCAAUGUGCUUUGUUUAGGUCAGUGAAAGCCACAACCAUAAAAGAAAAAUGAUACAUUGGACUUUGUUGAAAUUAAAAACUUCUCAUCAAAAGAGGCCAUUAAGAAAAUGAAAAGACAAGCCAUGGACUGGAAGAAAAUAAUUGUGAAAAAAUUUGACAGAAGAUUGAUAUCCACAAUGUAUAGAGAACUCCUACUCAGUAACGAAGACCAAGAAAUUGUUUGAAUGGAUAGAGGACUUGAAUAGAUAUUUCACUAAAUAUGUACGAAUGGCAAAUAAUCACAUGAUGAUGAUGUGUUGCAUGUUCUUAGCCAUCAAGAAAGUGGAAAUUAAAACCGCAACAAGAUAUUACCACCCAUUCACCAGAUGACAAUGCUAAAUGCAAGCAAAGAUGUGGAGAGACUGGAACUCUCCUAUAUCAUUGGUGGGAAUAUGGUAUAUCUGUUUUGGAAAAGGAAUAGCAGUUUCUUUAAAAACUAAACAUACAUUUACUCUGUGAUUUAGCAACUAUACAAGUAGGUUUUUCCCAAGGGAAGUGAAAACAUAUGUCCAUAAAAAGCCUUGUGUAAGAAUCUUCCCAACAGCUUUAUUCACAAUAGCCAAAAGCUGCAUACAUCCCAGGUGUCUAAGAACUGGUGAGUGACCAUAUACACUGUGGUAGAGUCAUGCAGUAGAAUACUACUCAGCAAUGUGAAGGAAUGAACUACUGUCACACAGAACAACGACUCUAUCUCAAAAAGAGUAUGCUAAGUAAAAAAAAAAGUCUUACAUGGAACAGUUUAUUCUAUUUGAUUCCAUUUUUAUAUGAAAUGCUGGAAUAGGUAGAAUGAAUCUGUGGUGAAAAAAUCAAAACAGUAGUUGCCUCUGGAAAGGGAAACAGGGGUGAGGAUUGAUGGGAAAGUGGGAGGGAAAUUUCUGGGGCAACAGUAAUGUUCUGUGUCUUGAUAGGGCUUUGGGUACACAGGUAUACGUUUGUCAAGACUCAGAAAACAUACACUUCAGGUUUUAUAUUUCAUGGUAUAUUAAGUUUACUUUGAAAGAAAAAAAGUAAAUAUUGAACUGAAGUUUUUAGGUAGAAGUUGGUUCAUGCCUGCCAUUUACUUUUAAAGGCAUGAAAAAGGCAACAUGGAUUAAUGGAGGAGGUAUGUAUAAAUAUAUGAUAAAGCAAGAGUAGCAAAAUAUUAAUGGUAGACUCUACAAUUAAAUGGUGGGUAUAUUUUCACUGUAGAAUUCUUUCAACUUUGUGAAUAUUUGGAAAUAAACCCAUUGCUGGGGGAAAAUCAAUGUGCCGGUCUUACCCGUGGACCCUCUUCAGUUGUUUGUUAGAUCUAAAUGUUCCAUCUUUUAACAUUCAUAUCAGACUAUAAAUGCAAAAGGUAAAGGCUUGGGUUUAUAAGAAUCUCAUAUCUGACUUCUUUUCUUUUCAAGUCUAGUCUUCAUACCUUUUAUUUUAGCAGACAAAAGAGGCCAGGAAGUGGUUAUUAUGAGAGGAAGGGAGGGGGAGAGACCUGUGACCCAAAAAAAAAAAAAAACCCAAAAACUCCUAUUGUAAAAUAUUGAGUAUCAAGAGGAGGCAACCACUUCAGACUUGUAGAAUCAAGAAAUUAAUGAAAGCACCAAGACUGCAUCCUUAGAACCACUAGGGAGUGAUAAUUACAGACAGUAUUUCUGGAGCAGACACAUAACCUUGAUUCCCAGGAUACCCCCUAAAGCACUCUAAUAGUGUGCUAUUUGUGGAAGGUUUUUCCACCUUUAAUAACAGAGAAAUAAUGUUAGAAGGAAAGAAAUCCCUUAUUUAGCCACUAGGGUGUCAUUAUUGAGCCCCAGCUGAAGGCCCCUUUAAAAGCGUCCAUAUGGUAAAAGAACAUGUUUCCCCACAAAAUCAAAACUGAGUACAUCUGAGACUUCUGAACAUCCUUUUUUUCUGGGAUCUUAAAAUGGAUUUGUGCAUAUUUGUGAAAAAAAAUUUAUGAUGUGCUAUCUUCCAAAGUGAAUGGUUAUUUAUAAUUCAUAAAAGACCUGAGCACAGGAAAAUUCUUCCCUUUUAUUAGCCCUAUAAAGUUAGACCAGCUGAUCUUUUAGUACAUAUUAAAGACAUCAAGUUCUCCGUAUGGUUGAAGUUUCUCUCCUCAAACUGAAUGCAUAGAGGCAGUGCUACUGAAGCUGUUUUUCAAAAGCUGGUGGGGUCCACGUCUCUUUUGAUUAAAUGUUAAAUAAACAAAAAAAUCAUUCUCAGAGCUAGUCUCUAAAGACACAGAAGGAAAAAUACUUGGAAUGCUAAACAUGCUUUUUAAAUCUUGCACAGCCUUUGUAAAAUACGACGGCAUAUUUUUAAAUAAAUUUUCUGUUUCCAACGUUUUAACCAUCGUCUUCGGACACAGUUGCCACAUCACUUCCUUUCAGCUGCCACUGGCUGCCUGUGAGUCAUAGCACAGGUUCAUGAGCAGAAGUGACUUGGGUCAAGGAGGAUGGUCACCAGGGAUUUGGACCCAUUACAAGGAGUCCUAGUGCCAGGGGCUCCCACCCAGCUGCACCUGCACAUCCCUGUCAUGAUAUCACAGAAAGUUAUCUCCUUCAAAGAAUCCAGCGUUCUAGCUCACCCUACCAGAGUCAUGUCCACCUCAAUUAGUGGCGUGCCUCAGACCCACAUUAGAGAGUUUCACAAAAUUUUUAGAGAUCUAAGUUCAAUCUGAAAAUACCCCAUGGUUUUGUUUCCUUUGAAUUCCCUGCCCUCUAGUAUUCCAGAUGAGCAUUUUAAGCUCUGUUAUAGAACUAUCAGGAGAUAGAAACUCUUUCUGUAUCCUGACUUUUAAAUACCUUAACUUAAGAUAUAGAUCGCUAACUCCUAAACACAAAAAGCCAACUAUAGGAUAGGAUCCUUCCUUGGUCAGAAAGAAUUGUCUCACCUUGCAGGGACAAGGGAUGAAGGAUUCAAAUGCUUUUUGAGCAAAUUUUCCACCAACUUAUGCUGCCUGACUCAGAAGAUAAGAAUGAGAUCUCAGCCUCUUGACAAUAUGCCAGCUGCACUGUGUGGUACCAGCAGUGGGAAUGGAAAAGGCAAUAUUUAUUCUGAGGGCCCUGACAACAUCAUCAUGAAGUCAUUCGUCCAGUCCUAAGUGGUUUGCAUUUCCAAGAUCCAGAGAGAGAGAGAGAGAGAGAGAGGCCCAUGAGCUGUAAUUCUAGGCAUUUUUUUGCCCUUUCUACCCAUACUCUUAUACAACAUAUCUAAGCAUUCUUCGGAAAAGCUAGAUAGUUGACAAAACCAAAUAUGCGAUAUGCUGUCAUAUGUUUUAGUUUAAUACUUUCAGAAUUUAUUUUCCUGUCACAUAAAUGAAAUCUUUCAAGUUCUUCUUCCUCAUCAUCUACCGCCCCAAAUGCUAAAUCAUUACAUGACAGAAAUGUUAAUUAUCUACUGUGUCAUAUCCUGCCCUCCCUCCAUCCAUCCAUGCUACAAAUAUUCCUUGAGUAUUUAUCAUGUGCCAGUCCCUAUGGUGAAGAUAUAGACAAUAAUUCAUAAUCUUGCCCUUCAGGAGCUUACAGUCAUACCUAAGACGCUCUCCUCUGUGUCUCCUGUGCCUUCAUUGAACACAGUUAACUUUCUGCUGUUACAGAACAAGAAAACAGGAGGUUUUACUCUGCCCAGACAAUACUCUUAGGCUCAUGGACUUUGUCUACCCCACAUUCUCUGAUCGCUACACACUCUGUCCACUAAAACCCAAUGCCCGGUCAGUCGUGAGAGAAAUUGAUGUUAACUGCAGUGGGAGCAAAUUUUAGGACAUAGCUUGGAUAAGACACAAAAUAGUGUCAAACACUCACUUUGCAAUUUUAAAAUUUAAACAGCCACUGCCAAGUGCAGAGUAUUUAAUUUUCUCUCCCCUUUCUAGGGUACUGACUGCCCCCCGACCCCCUACCGCCACUUCAAAACUAGACCUUUGGGGUUAAAAUACCUCCAGCUGAUUCACCCCACCCUACCCUUCAGUACAAGCAUCUCUCUGGUCUCCAGAGAUAAGCUAUUGGGAUCCUUCCUUUUAGGAGACCCUAAGUGGGCCUUCCCUACCAUCAUUCACCAAGCUGUGUCCUUUGAAAUACUGUGGUGCUUUUUUUAGAAGGGGAGGGGUACUGAAUUGGAAAGAAACCUGGUUUGGGGAGAGGAUGCCAAGAAGGCAACCAGAGCUUCCCUUUAUGUUGCAUCCAGCCAAGCCUCCAACCAACUCUAGGGUUUGUUUAUGGCAUUUCAUAAGCAGACCAGAAAAGCUCCUCUGGCAAUAUUUCAUGACAAAGUUUCUAUCCCCCAGGACCAGGCCAGAGCUUCCCAGUCUGCCUGCUGUAGCUCAGCAAGGCUAGGUUCCAAGUACGCAAAUGUAUUAUAGGUGGGUCAAGGUGUGGACCCUGGGUCAGGGGAAGCUGGGGCAGCCAGUUGUGUGAGGCAGGGCUGGGCUGAUAAGAGUUCUUGUAGAGAGGUGACCAAAUGUGAUGCCCCCUCUUUGCCUAAGGGCCAGAAAUUCUACUUUGCCCUCAGUCCCGUGUUGACAUGAGGUGCAGACACCUGCCCCAAUCCUGGAGUUUCAUCCUUAUCCUCAAAACCACCCAACCAUCCAGGCCAGGUUCUCCUCAGCCCUCACUCCUCCUUGCCCUCCACCAAAUCUGACCACUUCUGGCUGCUUUUCUGCCCAAUGCUUAUGACCUUCAUUUUGGGUACAACUAGCCCUGGGUGGUCUUCACCCUCAAUCCCCUCAGCCGAACAGAUUCAACAGAAUAUAAUGACAGCCACUUACAUAAUUUAAAAUUUUCCAGUAGCUACAUUUUUAAAGUUUAAAUAGGUAAAAAAAAAAAUUGCAUUCAAAUGUUUAUUUUAAACAGCUUUAUUUAGAUAUAAUUCACAUACCAUACAUUUCAUCCAUUUGAAGUGUAUUUACAGAGUUGUACAACAAGUACCACAAUCAAUUUUAGAACAUUUUCAUCACCCCUUAAAGAAACUCCAUACCCACUGGCACUCACUUCCCAUUGCCCUCCAAAACCCCAGCCCUAAGCAACCAACCAUCUACCUUCUAUACGUAUGGAUUUGCCUCUUGGCCAUUUCACAUAAGUGGAACCUUACAAUGGUGGGCUUCUGUGUCUGGCUUCUUUUGCUUAGCAUUGUGUUUUCAAGGUCCACUUGUGUUGUGGCAUUCACUUUAAUCAUAUAUUUUAUCUAGUCCAAUCUAUCCAGAAUAUCAUUUCAACAUGUAGUUGAUCUUAAAUAUGAUAAAUGAUGUAUUUUGCAUUCUUUCUUUUCCCCAUAGUAAUUCUUUGGGCUCUGGUGCGUAUUUUACACUUAGAGCACAUCUCAGUCAGAGCAGUAGCCACAUGUGGCUAGUGGCCUCUGUGUUGGAAAGCACAGGCCUAGCCAGAGUCCUUUCCACCACUCUCUAAAAACAACAGCUUCCUCUGUUCACCAUCACAUACCCUCUCCGCCCCACCAGCAUGGUCACAGGUGGAUUUAGGAUUUUAAGGCCAGCCCCACACUUUUCUUCCCUAGUGGAGAGCCUUGAGCUCAUGCUUCCAUGUGGGCAGUGGCCCCUCAGACCAGAGCCCGCAUGCAAAUAAGUGGAGCUCACUCUGCCAGUUCACCUUCCUUGACUAGGUGUACGGCUGAAUGAUGUAACCUGCUAGAAUGAAACUUUCUGCUUUCAAAAACUUAACAAAAGAAGCUUUUCUCUUACUUUUUAAAAACAGGUCUGUCAUUUCUUCGUUUUCUCCCUGGUACAUUUUCCAGCCAUUGUUUCGCUAAUAAUAGCUCUAAGCACACAAAUAAAGCUCACUGGUAGUGGUGGGUUUGGGAAAUUGCUACAAGCUUCCUCACAGCUUUAUCCUGCUCCUGUCAGCCAUUUCCCCAAGAAAAUGGACAUUUAAUCAGUGUGAGGCUGCAUCUUAUUAGUCUUGCUCAUCACCUCCUUCCAGGCUCGAGAGAAAAGACAGAAACCUACGGCGCUGCCACCAACUACCCAGGAUGCAGGGAUUUCACAGGAAGCGAGCUCUUUAUGAAAGAAGCACAUUAUUUAUCUCAGUGUGGCUAUGUCUACAUGGUCAUAUGCUAUUUUCUAAAUAUCUGUGAUUCUUAAGAUGGGCACAUGGGAAUGUUUGUGUAAUUGUUUUUUAUAAGGAAAAGCUUACAAAAUAGGGGUUAUUUACUCCACAAUAUGGAAGAUUGAGGGCAGGUUUCAUAUGCACAAAUUUAACAGAGACGUAAGAACAGCAAUAUCAGUAUCUUCCC
rnacentral:lncRNA from 1 species